rnacentral:rRNA from 1 species
CCUACGGGAGGCAGCAGUGAGGAAUAUUGGUCAAUGGACGAGAGUCUGAACCAGCCAAGUAGCGUGAAGGAUGACUGCCCUAUGGGUUGUAAACUUCUUUUAUAAAGGAAUAAAACGAGGCACGUGUGCCGUUUUGCAUGUACUUUAUGAAUAAGCAUCGGCUAACUCCGUGCCAGCAGCCGCGGUAAUACGGAGGAUACGAGCGUUAUCCGGAUUUAUUGGGUUUAAAGGGAGCGUAGAUGGGUUGUUAAGUCAGUUGUGAAAGUUUGCGGCUCAACCGUAAAAUUGCAAUUGAUACUGGCAGUCUUGAGUACAGUUGAGGUAGGCGGAAUUCGUGGUGUAGCGGUGAAAUGCUUAGAUAUCACGAAGAACCCCGAUUGCGAAGGCAGCUUACUAAACUGUGACUGACAUUGAUGCUCGAAAGUGUGGGUAUCAAACAGGAUUAGAUACCCCUGUAGUC